rnacentral:lncRNA from 1 species
AUGCUCUCUGGGCCAGUGAGGACACGGCUGUUUCCAGUCAGCCCUCCUGGCUGUAGGGGCCCCUAUCCCAGCACGGUCGCCACCCCAGCGCCUCAGCAGGCCUUCUUCUGGGGCUGGGCCAAGACAAGCACUGACAAACCAUCACACGAAAACACCACCCACCCCAGGGACGCUCCCAGCCCCCAAAGAUGUACAAAACCAUACACACAAAGGCACACCUCCCGGCUACAGGCACAGAACCAAACUACACACGGCCGGAAGUACACGGCAGGGUUCAUGAGCUCACAAGCACCCGGACCACAGAGAACACCACGGUGCCAGAGUCACAAACACACAUGUCACGCAGCACAGCCACGAACACCCGUACAGGCCCGGUACCCAGCCCGCGAGGCCAGCAGGGUGCAGACAUCAGCUGGCACAGAGUCCGAGGUCUGUCUCCGCAUGUCAGGCCGGCCAGGUGCCGAGCCCCCGCAGCUCAGGGGACAAGGGGGAGCGGGCCGAGGGAGCCGCGGGAGAAGGAGAAGGGCAGGCCAGGCCCGAGACAGACGUGGGGGCAGUCCCUGCUCAGGGGCAGCUCUGCAGCCCCACAUUCGCAGCACUCAGGCCCGGGCCUUAUCACACACUGAGACGCCACCUCCACCACCCGCUCCCUCCUGCUGCCACCUCUGCCCAGGUCACCCUCACGUGCCUGCAGGGCGCAAGAAACCGGGCGAGGCUAGUCAUUGUCACCACAAAAGCCAAUACAAAGGGAAAGAGAAGCUAAAUAUCAGUGCAGGGAUGUCCGGAGACACUUUUCCGCAGGGGAUUCUGGGCAGCAGACCACACUCCGCCGGUCAUGGUCAGGGUGGAGGAAUCCAUCUAAGUGGCCCCAUGUCAGCCCACGCUAAGGACACAGACCUGAGGCCAGCUGGCAUGGGAAGGCCUCCUGGUGAACCACCAGGGCCCCCUCUCUGGCCCACCCAUCCCCUCUCCCAUCAACACCAUGGCUUUGGGACCGGCAUUUGA